GUCAAGCAUGGUGGUGUAUGCCUGUAGUUCCAGCUGCUUGGGAGGCUGAGGCAGGAGGAUCACUUGAGCCCAGGAGGUCCAGGCUGCAGUGAGCUAUGUUCAUGCCACUGCACUCCAGCCUGGGCAACAAAGUGAGAUCCUGUCUCAA
ensembl:misc_RNA Metazoa_SRP Metazoan signal recognition particle RNA